rnacentral:rRNA from 1 species
GAUGAACGCUGGCGGCGUGCCUAAUACAUGCAAGUCGAGCGAACAGACGAGGAGCUUGCUCCUCUGACGUUAGCGGCGGACGGGUGAGUAACACGUGGAUAACCUACCUAUAAGACUGGGAUAACUUCGGGAAACCGGAGCUAAUACCGGAUAAUAUAUUGAACCGCAUGGUUCAAUAGUGAAAGACGGUUUUGCUGUCACUUAUAGAUGGAUCCGCGCCGCAUUAGCUAGUUGGUAAGGUAACGGCUUACCAAGGCAACGAUGCGUAGCCGACCUGAGAGGGUGAUCGGCCACACUGGAACUGAGACACGGUCCAGACUCCUACGGGAGGCAGCAGUAGGGAAUCUUCCGCAAUGGGCGCAAGCCUGACGGAGCAACGCCGCGUGAGUGAUGAAGGUCUUCGGAUCGUAAACCUCUGUUAUUAGGGAAGAACAAAUGUGUAAGUAACUAUGCACGUCUUGACGGUACCUAAUCAGAAAGCCACGGCUAACUACGUG